GCUUCUUCGUAGGCUUGUUCUUCUUCUUCUAACCAGACUUUCUUUUGGAUAAAGAAGCCCGCUCUAUAGCAAGAACAGUGUCUCUUGAACUUUUUAAUAAUUCCUCAGCUGUGACCAAUAUGUUGACCAGUUUGGGUACGGUGCAGUCCAACUUGUUCAUAUAAGAAUUUAUAAUAAAUUGACUAUAUGAACUCGUAAGGGAUUGCAGGAUUAGAUCCACUUGCAAUUCCUUCUGUAUAGUCAGGCCGAGCUUCUCAAGCUCCUCAAUCCUUGAUCAUUAUCAUACAAUACUCAUGAACCGACUGCCCUUUGUAUAUUUUUAUAUUGAAAAGUCUCUUGCAUACUUCAAAACGUACAAUCACUACAAUAGAACAGGAUAUUAGUGAUGCAAAAAAUUCAUCGCUAAUAUUAAAUUUUCAUCGGUAAUAGUUAUUAGCGACGAAAUUAUCAUCGCUGAUAUUUCGUUGUAAAUAAUGGCAUUAUUGAUAAUUUUUUAUGAUAAAAAAAAAAUUUCGUUGCUAAUAAUCGAUAUUACCGAUCAAAAUUUUUCAUCAUUAAAAUUUUUUUUUCGAAAACUAUUCAUG
rnacentral:lncRNA from 1 species